rnacentral:misc_RNA from 1 species
ACACGAUCAAUUCUAGUUAAGAGUUGGUAUUGACCUUAUAUGCGGUAUCGCGUAUUUGGUUUGAAUGUAUUUAGUUGAUGAGCUUCCCAAUGAUGCUCGAUGUGUGCUAGCGAGACAGUCGUCCCGAUCUCACAUUAUGGCCUUGUUGCAGAGUUCUAUUUACGACUAUUUAAUAUUUUUAAUCAU